rnacentral:lncRNA from 1 species
GCUUAGAAGAAAUAAAGGAAAUAUCCCAGGAGCAAAAACAAAACACACACAUGCUCCUCUCAAGAGUCACUGGCAUCCCAGCUGAAAAGUCAGCUCUACACCUGUGGGACCUAUGGGCCUGUUUCUGAGCUCUGUUCUGUCUCUUUGGUCCGAGUGUCUAUCUGAGGCCAAUACCACAGUACCAAAUGCGGUUGCUUUAGAGGAAGUCUUGAAAUCAGAUGAG